CGGCACGGGUGAGUAACACGUAUGCAACCUGCCUGCCACAGCCGGAUAAUCGGGAGAAAUUCCGUCUAAUACGGCAUAAUGCAUCGACGGGACAUCCUGUUGGUGCCAAAGGUUAAUUCCGGUGGCGGAUGGGCAUGCGUCGCAUUAGUUAGUUGGCGGUGUAACGGACCACCAAGACGACGAUGCGUAGGGGUUCUGAGAGGAAGGUCCCCCACACUGGUACUGAGACACGGACCAGACUCCUACGGAAGGCAGCAG
rnacentral:rRNA from 1 species